GACGAACGCUGGCGGCGUGCUUAACACAUGCCAGUCGAACGGAAAGGCCCUGCUUGCAGGGUACUCGAGUGGCGAACGGGUGAGUAACACGUGGGUGAUCUGCCCUGCACUUCGGGAUAAGCCUGGGAAACUGGGUCUAACACCGGAUAGGAGCCAUUUUUAGUGUGAUGGUUGGAAAGUUUUUUCGGUGUAGGAUGAGCUCGCGGCCUAUCAGCUUGUUGGUGGGGUAAUGGCCUACCAAGGCGGCGACGGGUAGCCGGCCUGAGAGGGUGGACGGCCACAUUGGGACUGAGAUACGGCCCAGACUCCUACGGGAGGCAGCAGUGGGGAAUAUUGCACAAUGGGCGCAAGCCUGAUGCAGCGACGCCGCGUGGGGGAUGACGGCCUUCGGGUUGUAAACUCCUUUCGCUAGGGACGAAGCUUUUUGUGACGGUACCUAGAUAAGAAGCACCGGCUAACUACGUG
rnacentral:rRNA from 1 species